rnacentral:rRNA from 1 species
GACGAACGCUGGCGGCGUGCUUAACACAUGCAAGUCGAACGAAGUGGCGAACGGGUGAGUAACGCGUAGUCAACCUGCCCUUCAGAGGGGGACAACAGUUGGAAACGACUGCUAAUACCGCAUACUGAAGGAGGGGAUUGCGUCUGAUUGGAUAGUUGGAGGGGUAACGGCCCACCAAGGCGAUGAUCAGUAGCCUGUGUGAGGGGAGUAACUGCCACAUUGGGACUGAGACACGGCCCAGACUCCUACGGGAGGCAGAAGUGGGGAAUCUUCCGCAAUGGAGGAAAGUCUGACGGAGCAACGCCGCGUGAGUGAUGACGGCCUUCGGGUUGUAAAGCUCUGUUAAGCGGGACGCGGUACCGGAAUAGAAAGCCACGGCUAACUACGUGCCAGCAGCCGCGGUAAUUC